UACGUAGGGUGCAAGCGUUGUCCGGAAUUAUUGGGCGUAAAGAGCUCGUAGGCGGUCUGUCACGUCGGCUGUGAAAUCCCGAGGCUCAACCUCGGGUCUGCAGUCGAUACGGGCAAACUAGAGUAUUGCAGGGGAGACUGGAAUUCCUGGUGUAGCGGUGAAAUGCGCAGAUAUCAGGAGGAACACCGGUGGCGAAGGCGGCACUCUGGGCCGGUACUGACGCUGAGGAGCGAAAGCGUGGGGAGCGAACAGG
rnacentral:rRNA from 1 species